rnacentral:rRNA from 1 species
GGUCCUAANAUGCAAGUUCGAACGGGAACCUUCGGGAUCCAGNUGGCAGACGGCCUGCAGUUAACGACGCUNGNGUUGUACGAUACCAUGGUUAGUGGGGAAUAACUGCCCGAAAGGGUGGCUAAUUCCGCAUACGCCUGUUGUUUCGGUACAGCAGGGAAAGUCGCAAGACGCUGACGGAGCGGCCCGCGUUCGAUUAGCUAGUUGGUGGGGUAACGGCCUACCAAGGCGACGAUCGAUAGCUGGUCUUAGAGGAUGAUCAGCCAGACUGGGACUGAGACACGGCCCAGACUCCUACGGGAGGCAGCAGUUAGGAAUUUUGGGCAAUGGGCGAAAGCCUGACCCAGCAACGCCGCGUGGGUGACGAAGGCCUUCGGGUUGUAACGCCCUUUUCUCGGGGAAGAUGAUGACGGUACCCGAGGAAGAAGCACCGGCUAACUACGUGCCAGCAGCCGCGGUAAUACGUAGGGUGCGAGCGUUGCCCGGAUUUAUUGGGCGUAAAGGGCGCGCAGGCGGCCACGCACGUCCGUUGUGAAAUCGCUCGGCUCAACUGGGCGGGGUCAGCGGAUACGGCGUGGCUAGAGCAAGCUAGGGGGCAAUGGAAUUCCCGGUGUAGUGGUGGAAUGCGUAGAUAUCGGGAGGAACACCAGUGGCGAANGCGGUUGCCUGGAGCUUUGCUGACGCUGAGGCGCGAAAAGCGUGNGGAGCGAUCCGGAUUAGAUACCCGGGUAGUCCACGCUGUAAACGAUGUCGACUAGGUGUCGGGGGUAUCGACCCCCUUCGGCGCCGCAGCUAACGCAUUAAGUCGACCGCCUGGGGGACUACGGCCGCAAGGCUUAAAACUCAAAGGAAUUGGACGGGGGCCCCCCCAA